GACGAACGCUGGCGGCGUGCUUAACACAUGCAAGUCGAACGGAAAGGCCCCUUUGGGGGUACUCGAGUGGCGAACGGGUGAGUAACACGUGAGUAACCUGCCCUUGACUUCGGGAUAACUUCAGGAAACUGGGGCUAAUACCGGAUAGGAAUCCUUGCUGCAUGGUGGGGGUUGGAAAGCUUGUGCGGUUUGGGAUGGACUCGCGGCUUAUCAGCUUGUUGGUGGGGGAGUGGCUUACCAAGGCUUUGACGGGUAGCCGGCCUGAGAGGGCGACCGGCCACAUUGGGACUGAGAGAAGGCCCAGACUCCUACGGGGGGCAGCCGGGGGGAAUAUUGCACAAUGGGCGGAAGCCUGAUGCAGCAACGCCGCGGGCGGGAUGACGGCCUUCGGGUUGUAAACCGCUUUCAGCAGGGGCGAAGCUUGUGGUGACGGUACCUGCAGAAGAAGCACCGGCUAACUACGUG
rnacentral:rRNA from 1 species